rnacentral:sRNA from 1 species
GCGGCUCGCUCUGGCGUGAAGGGCCGGUACGUGAUGGGGAGCCUUGGCCCGCGGACCCCGCUCCCAGCUUGGGCAGGUCUUACAGCCCACCUCUGUGCUCAGCUCUCUGCUGGCUCCAGGAGGGGUCCUUACUCGGUGACCACACUGACCUCAGGACCAAGGGAACAAAACACAGCAGGGGCAAUCCAUCCGGUCCACGGAGAAGUGCUAAACCCCAAAGGGUAAAUGAGAUUCCCACAGGAGGAGCAGGGAGGGGACAACAGGCAGAGUGGAGGGAACAGCAUGAGGAACAGCAUUUGAGCCCAGCGUGUGUGGCCUCCAUGUGCUGAAUGGUACUGGAUACCAAGCUUGCUCCAUGGAGGCCCUGUGAAGGUGGCUGUGGAUCACAGAUAUCCUCAGCUCUCUCCAGAGCUCAACACAGUACCAGAUGCUCCAGAAAUGUUUGCUGAACUGAAUUUGAUUGGAAAGGAAAACAGAGCCCCAGGCCUGCGCGGUGGCUCACGCUUGUAAUCCCAGCACUGUGGGAGGCCGAGGCAGGCGGAUCACUUGAGGUCAGGAGUUCAAGACCAGCCUGGCCAACAUGGUCCCAGCUGCAGGGCAGCCAUGAGCCUGGUGGCCUGUGAGUGCCUGCCCAGCCCCGGCCUGGAGCCUGAGCCUUGCUCACGAGCACGGUCCCAGGCUUGCGUGUACCUGGAGCAGAUUCGCAACAGGGUGGCUCUGGGAGUGCCUGACAUGACAAAACGUGACUAUCUGGUGGAUGCGGCCACGCAGAUCCGGCUGGCCCUGGAGCGCGAUGUUAGUGAGGACUAUGAGGCGGCCUUCAACCACUAUCAGAAUGGCGUGGAUGUGCUGCUCCGUGGCAUACACGUUGACCCCAACAAGGAGCGACGUGAGGCUGUGAAGCUGAAAAUUACCAAAUAUCUGCGGCGGGCAGAGGAGAUCUUCAACUGCCACCUGCAGCGGCCACUGAGCAGUGGAGCCAGCCCCAGCACGGGUUUCAGCAGCCUGAGGCUCCGGCCCAUUCGCACGCUGAGCUCUGCCGUGGAGCAGCUGAGGGGCUGCCGGGUGGUCGGGGUCAUCGAGAAGGUGCAGCUGGUCCAGGACCCGGCAACUGGAGGGACCUUCGUGGUGAAGAGCCUACCCAGGUGCCACAUGGUAAGCAGGGAGCGGCUGACCAUCAUCCCACAUGGAGUCCCCUACAUGACGAAGCUGCUCAGGUACUUUAUGAGCGAGGACUCCAUCUUCCUGCACCUGGAGCAUGUGCAAGGUGAGCGGGCCUGGGGGCCCCUGUCAGCUCCCCAGGCCUUUGGGGUAUGUCGUCAACCCUUAAAAUUCAGAGCCCUGGCAGGGCGUGGUGGCUCACGCCUGUAAUCCCAGCACUUUGGGAGGCCGAGGCAGGCGGAUCAACUGAGGUCAGGAGUUCAAGACCAGCCCGGCCAACAUGGUGAAACCCUGUCUCUACUAAAAAUACAAAAACUAGCCAGGUGUGCUUGCACGUGCCUGUAAUCCCAGCUACUUGGGAGGUGGAGGCAGGAGAAUGGCUUGAACCCGGGAGGUGGAGGUUGCAGUGAGCCAAGAUCACGCCGCUGCACUCCAGCCUGGGCAGCAGAGCAAGACUCCGCCUC